UAUGCUUUUUAUUAUUACUCCCUCCAUAUCAAUAUUUAAGUGUCUUAGUUUGAUUAGGCAAGUAGUUUAAAAAAUAAACACACUUUUGAAUCUCGUGAUCCUAAUUUAAAGAUGUGUAUAAUGUACUAAAAUAUUUUUUGGAUCUUGUGGUUAUAAACUUGUAAUGUAGGAUAUUUGACUUGUCAACUUACUAAAUAUAGAAAGGGGUAUUUUUUGGGGACGGACCGAAGACACUUGAAUAAGUACGGAGGGAAUAUUAUUUUUCAUUAAUGUCCAGUAUCUAUUCAGUUUUCGAACUCGAGCUAAUUAAGGACAGACAAAAUUGUACUUAUCCACGACAAUCUUCGGUGGCGAUGGUUUUGUAUGCUUAUAUUAUGCUUCUGCCGCGUAUAAUAGCUGUUUUUGUUGGCAUGGAUAACUGACCCAGGUGUCACUUGGACAGAACUUUAAACAUAAUAAUGCAGAGACUUUAAAUUCUGAUGUUCCUUCUUUGUUCAGAGUUCAACUGACAUAUUGUCCCCAAAUUAAAAACUGAGAUUUAACACAAAGACAAUAUGAGUGAAGUACCAAAGCAAGUAGCUUAUCCCUACCCCGCUCCAGGUUAUUACGAGGGACCUCCAGUGAUGGCACCCCCUAUGUAUAUGUAUACUGCUGCUCCUCCUAGGAGCCAACCAGGUUUUCUCGAGGCUUGCCUGGCAACGUUAUGUUGUUGUUGCCUCCUAGACUGUUGUUGCUGGGAUCCUUUCCUCUGCAUCUAGUUCUUCUUUGUACAACUACUUAAAAUGUCAGUAGUAUUCUAUAAGCCGUUUUCUUUUUUGGGUCUGGAAGAAAACAGUGUAUUAUACUUGAAACAAAACAUUAGUACAGGGAGUUGUAAAUGGUGUAGAACUCGCAUUACAAAGGGGGAUUUCAGGGAGUUGUAAGUUGUGACUAUGUACCUAUAAGUGAAUAGAAGAGUUGGAGUACUACUUUUGAUCUCUUUUUUUGUUUUGUUUUGUUUUUGUCUUAAUCAUUCACAAGUUACCAGCCAAAAGAAGAAUAAAAAUAAUGUGCAUUGUGCCCAUG